rnacentral:lncRNA from 1 species
CGUUCCUGGCUCUUUAAUUCUUCUCAUCUUGCAGCCUUUGGGAACUUCCCUUUAAGCAGGCCCCGCAAUGGGUAACGACUCCCUGGCGGACAGAGCGGCCGAACCCAAAGGCCAGGACAAACCGGACUCAGGCCAAAUCUCCUCCGCCCUGUUUAAUGACUGUGGGAAGGAGCCGCUGGUGGAUAAAGGAGGUCCAGGAAGACACCAGGAUGCAGCGCUCUUUCCGCCAUACUGAGGAGGCGCUCAGGGGUGAAAUUCUGAUGGAGGAGCUGGCUUGAUUAUGCAAAAAAGACAAAGAGGUGUCAGAAAGAGACUGAUGGGCUUGGGCAGAACCAGUGAACCUGGGUGCUUCCAAAGAUUCAUGUGUGAUGAGAACAAGUAUGCACAGGCACAAAUAAGGAUCAAAUGAAAAUGAAG